rnacentral:rRNA from 1 species
AUUGAACGCUGGCGGCAGGCCUAACACAUGCAAGUCGAGCGGAUGAAGGGAGCUUGCUCCUGGAUUCAGCGGCGGACGGGUGAGUAAUGCCUAGGAAUCUGCCUGGUAGUGGGGGAUAACGUCCGGAAACGGGCGCUAAUACCGCAUACGUCCUGAGGGAGAAAGUGGGGGAUCUUCGGACCUCACGCUAUCAGAUGAGCCUAGGUCGGAUUAGCUAGUUGGUGGGGUAAAGGCCUACCAAGGCGACGAUCCGUAACUGGUCUGAGAGGAUGAUCAGUCACACUGGAACUGAGACACGGCCCAGACUCCUAGGGGAGGCAGCAGUGGGGAAUAUUGGACAAUGGGCGAAAGCCUGAUCCAGAAAGGCGGCGUGUGUGAAGAAGGUCUUCGGAUUGUAAAGCACUUUAAGUUGGGAGGAAGGGCAGUAAGUUAAUACCUUGCUGUUUUGACGGUACCAACAGAAUAAGCACCGGCUAACUUCGUG